rnacentral:rRNA from 1 species
AAUAGAUACCCGGGUAGUCCACGCCGUAAACGAUGGAUACUAGCUGUUGGGGGCGACCUCAGUGGCUAAGCGAAAGUGAUAAGUAUCCCACCUGGGGAGUACGUUCGCAAGAAUGAAACUCAAAGGAAUUGACGGGGGCCCGCACAAGCGGUGGAGCAUGUGGUUUAAUUCGAUGAUACGCGAGGAACCUUACCAAGGCUUAAAUGCAGACUGACCGUUUUGGAAACAGAACUUUCGCAAGACAGUCUACAAGGUGCUGCAUGGUUGUCGUCAGCUCGUGCCGUGAGGUGUCAGGUUAAGUCCUAUAACGAGCGCAACCCCUGUUGUUAGUUGCCAGCGAGUAGUGUCGGGAACUCUAACAAGACUGCCAGUGCAAACUGUGAGGAAGGUGGGGAUGACGUCAAAUCAUCACGGCCCUUACGCCUUGGGCUACACACGUGCUACAAUGGCCGGUACAGAGAGCAGCCACCUCGCGAGAGGGAGCGAAUCUACAAAGCCGGUCACAGUUCGGAUCGGAGUCUGCAACUCGA